rnacentral:rRNA from 1 species
GGUAGGCCUAACACAUGCAAGUCGAACGGCAGCACAGGAGAGCUUGCUCUCUGGGUGGCGAGUGGCGGACGGGUGAGGAAUACAUCGGAAUCUACUCUGUCGUGGGGGAUAACGUAGGGAAACUUACGCUAAUACCGCAUACGACCUACGGGUGAAAGCAGGGGAUCUUCGGACCUUGCGCGAUUGAAUGAGCCGAUGUCGGAUUAGCUAGUUGGCGGGGUAAAGGCCCACCAAGGCGACGAUCCGUAGCUGGUCUGAGAGGAUGAUCAGCCACACUGGAACUGAGACACGGUCCAGACUCCUACGGGAGGCAGCAGUGGGGAAUAUUGGACAAUGGGCGCAAGCCUGAUCCAGCCAUACCGCGUGGGUGAAGAAGGCCUUCGGGUUGUAAAGCCCUUUUGUUGGGAAAGAAAUCCAGCUGGCUAAUACCCGGUUGGGAUGACGGUACCCAAAGAAUAAGCACCGGCUAACUUCGUGCCAGCAGCCGCGGUAAUACGAAGGGUGCAAGCGUUACCCGGAAUUACUGGGCGUAAAGCGUGCGUAGGUGGUCGUUUAAGUCCGUUGUGAAAGCCCUGGGCUCAACCUGGGAACUGCAGUGGAUACUGGGCGACUAGAGUGUGGUAGAGGGUAGCGGAAUUCCUGGUGUAGCAGUGAAAUGCGUAGAGAUCAGGAGGAACAUCCAUGGC